UACGGAGGAUGCAAGCGUUAUCCGGAUUCAUUGGGUUUAAAGGGUGCGUAGGCGGAAUAAUAAGUCAGUGGUGAAAGCCUGCGGCUUAACCGUAGAAAUGCCAUUGAUACUGUUAUUCUUGAGUAUAGUUGAGGUGGGCGGAAUGUGUAAUGUAGCGGUGAAAUGCUUAGAUAUUACACAGAACACCAAUUGCGAAGGCAGCUCACUAAGCUGUUACUGACGCUGAGGCACGAAAGCGUGGGGAGCAAACAGGAUUAGAUACCCUGGUAGUCCACGCCGUAAACGAUGAUCACUCGUUGUUGGCGAUACACCGUCAGCGACUGAGCGAAAGCAAUAAGUGAUCCACCUGGGGAGUACGGCGGCAACGCUGAAACUCAAAGGAAUUGACGGGGGCCCGCACAAGCGGAGGAACAUGUGGUUUAAUUCGAUGAUACGCGAGGAACCUUACCUGGGCUUGAAAGGGGAUUGACCUCCCGGGAAACCGGGAUUCUCUUCGGAGCAAUCUCCUAGGUGCUGCAUGGUUGUCGUCAGCUCGUGCCGUGAGGUGUCGGGUUAAGUCCCAUAACGAGCGCAACCCCUAUUGUUAGUUGCCAGCGGGUAAUGCCGGGAACUCUAACGAAACUGCCGGUGUAAACCGAGAGGAAGGUGGGGAUGACGUCAAAUCAGCACGGCCCUUAUGUCCAGGGCUACACACGUGUUACAAUGGCCGGUACAAAGGGCAGCUACUUGGUGACAAGAUGCUAAUCUCGAAAACCGGUCUCAGUUCGGAUCGAAGUCUGCAACUCGACUUCGUGAAGCUGGAUUCGCUAGUAAUCGCGCAUCAGCAAUGGCGCGGUGAAUACGUUCCCGGGCCUUGUACACACCGCCCGUCAAGCCAUGGAAGCUGGGAGUACCUGAAGUCUGUAACCGCAAGGAGCGGCCUAGGGUAAAACCAGUGACUGGGGCU
rnacentral:rRNA from 1 species